rnacentral:misc_RNA from 1 species
UGUCACAAUAUUAUAAUGUUGACAUCUUCAUUUUUACUGUUUUACUUCCUUGACAAAGAAGUAAACAAGGAACUUGUGGCAUAAAUUCUUGGCAACAUUACAAAAUUACAACCCGUAUAAAUAUAUUUUUUUUCAAUGCAAAUUAAAAGAUAACUUUUCGCACAGCUACUCGUCAAACAAAUAAAAUGAUGUAUGCAAUUGUUGCCUUUGAUGAGGAAAAUAACACUGACUAUCUACCUCUAAUUUGGCUUGUUAAUGCGAUGAGCGAAAAUGUUCUGUCUAUAAUAUCUUCAAGGAAAUCAACAGAUUUUUAUUGGCCACGCUGGACAAAUAUGAAAAAAAUUGACGCAGCAAAAUCAAUCUGUCAAGAACCAGAAGUUGGUUGGCUGCGAUUUUCUGGAAGAAUUUUGUCCACUGCUGACACAGAAUCUGAAGCAAAAGAAAAAUGUAAAUAUGCGGAAGAUACAUCAAAUGUUGAUGAACUAUAUCUAAAAAAUCGAAAAAGCCAGUCUUGUGAAGAAGAUUCUCAAGUAAAGUUAUUUGAAAAAAAAAAGGAAAUUGAAUCUAUUUUUUUUAAAGAAGAACUUAGUAAAUCAAUAAAGAAAAAGAAAACAGAGUCAACAAAAGGACAUAUGAAGUUCAAUAAAAGUUUUGAAGACCUUAAUAAAUCCCCAGAACAAGCUUUUAUCAAGCCAGAUGUUCCUUUAAUUCCUCGAUGUUCUAACACUUCAGAUGAUGUUGAUUUCAAUAAAAAUUCAUCUUUAACAGAUUUUUCAUUCAAUUUGUCUGAAACUUAUCAAAGAAUGCCUAAUUCUUCAACAAUAGUACCUUUUGCUGCAGCAGAAAAUUCAGGAGUAUGCAAAACUAUUUUGAGAGGGUUAGAACAAAUUAAAGAAACACAAAAAUUUCACUCUAAGAUGAUUCAGAAUUUAUUGCAACGGUUUAACAUAGAAAGAGACAUAGCAUCAGUGGAGCUACCAGAAGGUUUAACAUUUCCUGUAACAACAAUGGAAGAACUGGAUAAGGCUCUUGAAAUAUUAGCUAAUGUUACUACUCAAAGGAUUUUGGUUCAUAUUCUUUUUGAAAAUGGUGGGCAAGAUAUUUCAGAAUUUGUUAAUCGAAAUAUGACUUAUCUUAUUGGAAAUGUAUUGGCCAGACAGCUAAAUUUGACCGGCCAAAAAAAUAAGCGUGGAUUUAUUAAAACCAUUUUGUACAACAUUCUUUAUACUUCCAUAAAAAUGAAUACAUCUACAAAAGAGUGUACAAAAAAACAGCUUGAGGAGGCUCUUUCAAAAUGGUUUGGUAAUGCUCGUGACAGAGGUUCACAUUGGCUGUUGGCAAUAUUUGUCUAGUGGUGUGAGUUGACUACAGAACGUCUCCAAUUUUAGUUAAUGACUCCAAUUAAAUAAACUCCUUUAAUGGCAGGUCUUAUUGAAAAAGAUAUUGUAUGAAGAAAAAAGUGCUUAAAGAAGUGGUUUUCACAAAGAUUUUAAUUCAUGAUUACGAUACGAUUCACGAUUAAAGAAUAAAAAUGUAAUUUUAAUGUGCUUUUUGUUUGAAAUAAAUAAGCAUAUAAUAUGAA